rnacentral:rRNA from 1 species
GACGUAGGGCGCGAGCGUUGUUCGGAUUCACUGGGCGUAAAGGGUGCGUAGGCGGUCGGGUAAGUCUGAUGUGAAAUCUCACAGCUUAACUGUGAAACUGCAUUGGAUACUAUCCGGCUAGAGGAAUGGAGGGGAGACUGGAAUACUUGGUGUAGCAGUGAAAUGCGUAGAUAUCAAGUGGAACACCAGUGGCGAAGGCGAGUCUCUGGACAUUUCCUGACGCUGAGGCACGAAAGCCAGGGGAGCAAACGGG